rnacentral:piRNA from 1 species
UCUGCGCGCACCGCCAUUUUCUAGGA